CAGAAAUUUGUGCCUUGUGAAAAUUAGACAUCCAGGCCCCAUCAGUUUCUUAUAAAAGCCUCUGCAUUCAACUGUAAAAACAGCAACCCGUUUGGUCCCCUUCUCUGCUGCAGAGAGCUUCUUUCACUUAUUAAAUUUUUGCUCCAACCUCACCCUUUGUGUCCACGUUCCUUAAUUCUCUCUGUUUUGAGACAAAGAACUCCAGGUGACACAUCACAAUGAAAGACUGCUACAUUGUGGUACAUUGGUAACACUGUAACAAUGGGACUGACUUCACAUAUGGGUGGUCACUGAGAAGAGGACAACUGGCUACAAAUAUCAACAGGCUUUAACAGUCUUCUUUCCUUCAAGUCCAGUUCUUUGAAAGUCCAAAUUUGCUCUGAACUGACUUCAAGCAAGUGCCCACUCUUGAACAAAUUACUGAGGCUGGAGGAUAAAGACACAAAUUGGCCAAACUUGGAUUACCUGCCUUCUGCAUCUUAAAGGAGUCAGUCCCAACUACAAAUUUAAGAGGAUCACAGAAACACCCACAAACUUACGAGGAUCACAGAAAACACCCCUACACCAACUUAUAGCCAAUCUAUUCAACCUGCAUUGUUAGCAGGUCACCUCUCCUGGAUCUCUGCCUGUAGUGCCCAAUUAAGAAUGGAAGGUAAGCAUUUGUUUUUAUCCCUUCCUUCCCAAAUUCAGAUUAGCAGGAAGAAAUCAUUUGUUUGGAUUGUGUCUUUUGUGUAAAUUUGGUUUGGAAGUACAUAUUUGUUAUUGAUCUUUUCCUUUCCGGGGACAUCCAUUUCUUUCCUAUUUGUCUUGUUCUGUGUCCUGAAGGUUUGGUUUUAUGAUCAGUGAGAAUAUUCUCUCUGGUCUCUACCAGCUGGGGGAUGCAAGUGUCAGCUUACAUCAGGCAGCCAGUCCAAAUGUUUUUUUUUUUUUGUCAUGUAGUGUCAGCUCUCAGGGGAAUUUGUCUUAUUAGAGGUUCCAAUUCAUGAGAGGCCUGUUUUUUUUUUGUUUUUCUUUUUUUUUUUUUGUUUUUUUUUUUUUGGUCUCAGCCUUCAUUGCUUAGUUCUGUGGCAACAAAGGUCUUUUUUUCUUUUGACUGUCUUUUGCGGAUGAUUCUGGAUCUUGGGAGGACUACAUCUUUUUGCACCCUCUUUUCAGGACAUCUCUUUCAUCCUUGGUUAAGUCAUAAAAGACUGACUGAUUUUGGUUCUGAGUCACUUGGUUGGGGCCUCAGUUUAAAAGCAGAAAAAAAAAAGCCACAAGUAGUUCAAGCAGUUGCUGUUUGUUCUGGCUGAAAUCUGAAAAUAAAAUAUUUGAAAAGUUUUUUUGUUUUGUUUUUUUCUUCAAUGAAUUCUGUGGUCAGAAGUCUGAUUAAUUGAAAGCUGAUAUUCAGGCUUUACUUUUUUUAAGGCCUCUGUGUUCUCACUAUUGGAUAUUGCUUCUUCCAUGGGAACUUAGUUGACUGAAACUCCUCUUGUUGAAUCCCUGCUAACUAUAUGCUCAGCCCUUCUGUUUUCUUUCUUGCUGGCAAGAUUUUUUUGCUGAGGAGAAUGUAGAAUAUCAUUGGUUUUUUAGGGGGAUGGGGAAGGGGACUCAAAAUCUUCUUAAACUGGCUUCUCUAAGACCCCUUCUUAGAAGGACUCUGGUUUCUGUGGCCAGACUUUAGUUAGGCUUCUAAACCUUCUCCUAGGUCCAUCUGUAUAUGUCCUUGUAAAAUCCUGUAGUAAAUUCCCAUAAUUUUAUGUUACCUCAGCAUUCAUUUUGAAUCUUCCUCUGUGUCUCACUUAAUUGACAUACCUGAGCCUAAUGAGCCUCCCAGUUGGGGCUCUACCAUAGAGUGGCUAUCUUGAUAAGCCCAUCUCUCUCACUAGAGAGUGUCUAUAAACACUCUCUAGUGAGAACUUCAGACAAAAAUCGAGAAAAAUGCAACAAAUUCAGUUGUAACAGAAAUGGAUAACUCGUCCACUCAGGUGGGUCUUUGAAGACAUUUAAACAGCUGUAAGAUGUCUCCUCAGGCACUAGCUUACAAUCUAGUUCAUAGUCUCCAUAAGAUCGGUCUCUGAUAGUAGGCUUUCUCUGUGCCUUUGAUUCGUAAAUUUUCUACACUCUUCUCUAGAACUUGAUAGUUACCCUUUGCAAU
rnacentral:lncRNA from 1 species